GGGGGAUUAGCUCAGCUGGGAGAGCGCUUGCAUGGCAUGCAAGAGGUCGGGGGUUCAAAUCCCCCAUCCUCCA
rnacentral:tRNA from 1 species